UACAAGCCCGUGUGAAGAUAUCAUGUUUAGAUAUCGCAAUGGUUUAGUGGACGGUGCAGCUAUGGUAACUGAUGUUGAAUAUACAGGCACGUGCAAGGUUGUCAUGUUGCGGAUGUUACAAUGGAUUACUGGCCGGUGCAGGCUGGUCCUUUCUCUCGGGCGUAAUGAGGUUUAAAAAGACAAGAAGACAGUAUUUGACAUCAUUGAAAGAUAGAAAAAGAAUCGAUUGUAGAGACCAAAUAUCGUCAUGCCGACCUGUGCUUGUUGUUUCUGACAGCUGACAGUCCGAUGCAUGCCAGAUUGAUUUCAAACACAAAAAGUGAGAAAUAUCUGCAGAAGGAAGAACCAAGUAUGAUGACUACACGAAAGACCUGGCGCAAGCAUAAAAGCAUGACACCACCACAGCCGCCGUGACACAAGCAUAGUUCAACAAAUUAGACAUAAGCUGAUAUAUAAUUAUAACCCCACGUACAAAGUAUAUGGGGCUAUAUUGGAGUCACACAUGUCCGCCCGUCUGUUCUUCCAUCCGUCCAUCGUUCC
rnacentral:lncRNA from 1 species